rnacentral:lncRNA from 1 species
GUCACAAACAGCCAUGGAGACACCCAGAAGGUCACUGCACAAGACCUUUCAGCAUGACACGUGGGAUUCAGCUGGAUGAGCGGCAAGGCAGACUGUCAUGAAGCAGUCCAUGGAGAGAGGAAGAAGGAAUGUAUGUGUCCUGCUCCCUCUCAACUCCUAUUUUCCACUGGUCAAAGUUUUCCUAGUGGGGGUUAACUCUUCUGCACUUCAGGAUUGUAUCACCCAGUCCUAAUGGCAGCCUCUCAGGAGACCAGUUCCCACCCCAUGCUGGAGAGUGUUUUCAUCCAAAUCUGGAAGAGUGGCUGACUCUGAAUUUGUUAAAUAAAUGAACUAGCAAGUAAAACCUCCGAAAUCUCAACAUCUGCCCUGGGGGAAAAGCUUAUGCUUUGCAAGGUGCAAACAGACUGUUCGAUGAGAUUGGAAAACUAGAAGCUAUUAUGCAAGUUGGAGAAAUACCAGAAGAACCUUUUAAAUGGAAAACAGGGACCAAGAGAGAUUGUAUAGAGGAGAACGUGAGAGGAAGAAACACAGGAGUGGUUGUGGAUCUGUGAGGGGAUGAGGGAAACUGUCUUAGGAGAUCCAGUGAUAAAUCCAUAGCUCUCUGUUCUAAGCACA